UACGGAGGGUGCAAGCGUUAUCCGGAUUCACUGGGUUUAAAGGGUGCGUAGGUGGGUUGGUAAGUCAGUGGUGAAAUCUCCGGGCUUAACCUGGAAACUGCCUUUGAUACUAUCAAUCUUGAAUACCUUGGAGGUGAGCGGAAUAUGUCAUGUAGCGGUGAAAUGCUUAGAUAUGAACAUAGAACACCAAUUGCGAAGGCAGCUCACUACACGGUCAUUGACACUGAGGCACGAAAGCUGGGGAUCAAACAGG
rnacentral:rRNA from 1 species